rnacentral:rRNA from 1 species
AUGCGAGGUUGCACUACCACAGGAAGACCCAGUAGUAACGGGCACAAAAAGUCCACCAUUGACGGGCGAGGCUAUCAGGAGCGCCCGCCGCUGCUAACAUGUCAACAGUGGCGACCGGGUCGCCCACCACUAGUAGAACAUUUUCAGUGGCGGGUUGUGCUUAGUGCCAGCCUUGCUUCUACUAAGAAGGGAUGUAUAACUUCGAUUCAAGCAGUUUAUGUACCCGCAGACGAUUUGAUCGACCCUACCCCUGCCACAACAUUUGCACAUUUGGAUGCUACUAUCAUACUUUCCAGAGGAUUAGCUUUCAAGGGUAUUUAUCCAGCAGUAGAUCCUUUAGAUUCAAUCGACGGGAAUAGCAAUGUCGGGCCUCCGUCUACACCCACCACAGUCGUGUGGGGUAGCACUGGCUAG